rnacentral:lncRNA from 1 species
AUGGUUCAUGAGAGCAACAAGGAGCACCUCUGGCCCUGGGUGCCCCCCACACUCAGUUUCAUAUCACUCUAUUCCCCAACUCGGUGGGGCUGCCCCCAUUCCUUGGCCCCUGGUCCCUGCACACCUCAGAACUGCCCCCAUUACCCCUUGAUAUUGCCCCUCCUCCCCUCAGAACUGUCCCUCCACUCCAGAACUGCCCUUGUGCCCUUCAGAACUGCCCCCUCAGCCCAGAACUGCUCCCAUACCCCAUAUCUGCCCAUCCCUGCUAUCCCUCAGUACUGCCUCCUCACACCCCUCACACCCCACAGAGCUUCCCCCUCACCCCACAGCUGCCCCCCACCCCGCAGAGCUGCCCAUACACAUCAAAACUGCCCCUUACAUCUGCCCCCUCCCCUCAGAUCUGCCCCUCACCUCCCAGAUCAGACCCUCAGAACUGCCCCUCUCCCCUCAGAUCUCACCUCUUUUCCCUCAAAUCUGCCCCUUACCUCACAUCUGCCCACACAGCUCAGAUCUGUCCCCCUCCCCUCACAUCUGCCACUCAAAACUGCCCCUUUCCCCUCAAAUCUGCCCCUCUCCUCUCAUAUCUGCCCCCCUCCCAUCUUCCUCUCUCCACUCACAGCCCUCGUAUCUACCCCUUUCCUCUCAUAUCUGCCCCUCACAUCCCUCAGAACUGCCCCUCUCCCCCCACAUCUGUCCAUACACCUCACAUCUGCCCCUUCUCCUCUCAAACCUGCUCCUCUCCUCUCAGAACUUCCCCUCUCUCCUACAUCUGCACUUCCUCUCAAAUCUGCCCCUCACAUCACCUCAGAUCUGCCCCAUUUCUCUCAAAUCUGCCCCUCUCACACCUCAGAUCUGCCCCUCACACCCCACAGAUCUGCUUCUUUCCUCUCACAUCUGCCCUCUCCUCUCAGAACUGCCCCCCUCCCCCCACACCUGCCCAUACACCUCACAUCUGCCCCCAAAGCUGCCCCUUUCCCCUCAAAUCUGCCCCUCAGAACUGCCUCUCUCCUCCAUCUGCCCCUCUCCUCUCAUAUCUGCCCUCACGCUCCCUCAGAACUGCCCACACCUUUCAUAUCUGCCCCUCUCCUCUCAAAUCUGCCCCUUUCCCCUCAGAUCUGCCCCUUUCCCCUCAAAUCUGCCCCUCACACCCCACAGAUCUGCCCCUAUUCUCUCAGAUCUGCCCCUUUCCCCUCAGAUCUGCCCCUCCCCCUCAAAUCUGCCCCUAUUCUCUCAGAUCUGCCCCUUUCCCCUCAGAUCUGCCCC